UACGUAGGGGGCUAGCGUUGUCCGGAUUUAUUGGGCGUAAAGAGCGUGUAGGCGGCUUUACAGGUCCGUUGUGAAAACUCGAGCUCAACCUCGAGACGCCGGUGGAAACCAUCUAGCUAGAGUCCGGAAGAGGAGAGUGGAAUUCCUGGUGUAGCGGUGAAAUGCGCAGAUAUCAGGAAGAACACCCGUGGCGAAGGCGGCUCUCUGGGACGUGACUGACGCUGAGACGCGAAAGCGUGGGGAGCGAACAGG
rnacentral:rRNA from 1 species